AGUAGUUCUUCUUCUCAUCAUCGACUUUCCAAUGGGGAGCCAUGUAGGGACAACUAGUUAUCUCGCCAGUUGGUGCAUCCAUCCACGGAGGUAAACUUAAUGUUGCAAGUGACAUCAGGCUCACUCAGAGAUCGGCAGGUUUAAUUCCCACCCCCAGGAGUUAUGUUCAGAUUCUCAUUGGCACUUCAAAGAAAGAGAAUGUACAAAGUACCGUGUGGAAAACAGUAGGAUCUACUGCAGAGUGGCACUUCUGAAAGGGUCCAUUGCUGUCCGUCAGCAGGCCGCACCAGUGCGAAGCAUAUUUUUCUGUACAAGACAAAGGGCAAUGUGGUUUUAUACAUAUUACUGCAGAGAUGGGCAAUGUGUUUCAGCCCAAGGAACACAUUCCCUUCUGUGCAGCCUCUCAGGGACCUUACGCCAGUGGUGGGCAGGGCAGAGCUACAAACUUCACCUUUGUACAAUAGUCUAGUUCCUUCAGAACUAUAUCCACCACCCAAGCAUGUAAGAAUCACUAUCAGAGUUUGAGGACCUAUUCCAGCCAGUCAAUGAGAGAAAAUACUGCAUUAGAACUUGCUCUCAUUGUUAACUGUAUCUUUCUGCCUUCCUUCUGCAUCAUAUAGUUGUGCUUGCUUGCUCAAGUCACCUAUAAUCAUCUUUUGUCUGUCAUGCCAUUUUUCUCUGCUGUCUUAAUACACCAUGAUCUGGAUAAUGUGGAAUAGUCUGCAAUGAUUGUUCCAGCUGUACAAAGCCUUUUUCUCUUAUGGGGAGCCAUUGUCGUCUGAGAGCCAGUGUGGCAUAGAGCAACAAACUAUGACUUAGAGAGUGUGUGUUGGAUUCACCCACCCAGCUUUUAAGAUCCCUAGGUGUCCAAAAACCAGUUACAUUCU